rnacentral:lncRNA from 1 species
UUGAUUUCUCAUAGUUUCUUCGGAUUCCCAUGUAGCUUCUUCUACUUCAUGCCUUUGCCACAACACCUUCACAAGUGCAACAUUUUUAUUCCUUAGUUGUUUGACCUCUCGAGCUAAAAUCUUAAUCGGUUCUUCUUUGUAGGUCAUAUCUGGUUGUAGUUCAAUUUCUGUCGGUGAAACUACAUGUGAAGGAUCCGAACGAUACCGACGUAACAUAGAUACGUGGAACACAUCAUGAAUCUUCUCUAAUUCAGGUGGUAAUGCUAGCCGAUAU